UGCUCAAUGAUUGAUUUUCAAUUAAAUAGCCGCAGUAUUUUGACUGUGCGAAGGUAGCAUAAUCAUUUGUCUUUUAAUUGAAGGCUGGUAUGAAUGGUUUGAUGAGGGAAUAACUUUCUUUAUAUUAUAUAUUGAAUUUAAUUUUUAGGUUAAAAAGCUUAAAUAGUUAAGUGGGACGAGAAGACCCUAUAGAAUUUUAUUUUUAAGGAUUUAUUUAAUUUUUGGUUAUUAUUAUUGUUUAAUUCUUUAAAAAUUUUGUUGGGGUGAUAUUGAGAUUAUUAAAACUCUCAUAUUUUAUGGUUUAAAUAUAUUUAUUUAUAGGAUCCUUAUUUAUGGAUAUAUAGAUUAAAUUACCUUAGGGAUAACAGCGUAAUUUUUCUGGAGAGUUCUUAUCAAUGGAGGAGUUUGCGACCUCGAUGUUGGAUUAAAAUUAGAUUUAAGUGCAGAAGCU
rnacentral:rRNA from 1 species